UGGGGAAUAUUGGACAAUGGGCGAAAGCCUGAUCCAGCCAUGCCGCGUGUGUGAAGAAGGUCUUCGGAUUGUAAAGCACUUUAAGUUGGGAGGAAGGGCAGUAAGCGAAUACCUUGCUGUUUUGACGUUACCGACAGAAUAAGCACCGGCUAACUCUGUGCCAGCAGCCGCGGUAAUACAGAGGGUGCAAGCGUUAAUCGGAAUUACUGGGCGUAAAGCGAGCGUAGGUGGUUCGUUAAGUUGAAUGUGAAAGCCCCGGGCUCAACCUGGGAACUGCAUCCAAAACUGGCGAGCUAGAGUAGGGCAGAGGGUGGUGGAAUUUCCUGUGUAGCGGUGAAAUGCGUAUAUAUAGGAAGGAACACCAGUGGCGAAGGCGACCACCUGGGCUCAUACUGACACUGAGGUGCGAAAGCGUGGGGAGCAAACAGG
rnacentral:rRNA from 1 species